GACGGACGCUGGCGGCGUGCUUAACACAUGCAAGUCGAACGGAAAGGCCCUGCUUUUGUGGGGUGCUCGAGUGGCGAACGGGUGAGUAACACGUGAGUAACCUGCCCUUGACUUUGGGAUAACUUCAGGAAACUGGGGCUAAUACCGGAUAGGAGCUCCUGCUGCAUGGUGGGGGUUGGAAAGUUUCGGCGGUUGGGGAUGGACUCGCGGCUUAUCAGCUUGUUGGUGAGGUAGUGGCUUACCAAGGCUUUGACGGGUAGCCGGCCUGAGAGGGUGACCGGCCACAUUGGGACUGAGAUACGGCCCAGACUCCUACGGGAGGCAGCAGUGGGGAAUAUUGCACAAUGGGCGGAAGCCUGAUGCAGCAACGCCGCGUGCGGGAUGACGGCCUUCGGGUUGUAAACCGCUUUCGCCUGUGACGAAGCGUGAGUGACGGUAAUGGGUAAAGAAGCACCGGCUAACUACGUG
rnacentral:rRNA from 1 species